UCGGGCGGAAGGCAGGAUACACCCUGGACAGGUCGCCAGUCCAUCGCAGGGCUAUAUAUAACAUUAAUAGCUUAAAUGAAGGAAUAAAAUCAGCUCUUCUUGUGUUCUCUGUGUUACAGUUCAAAGUUCUUGCAUGUAACUAAAACACAAAACUCUUACUGAUGUUUAUGUAAAAUUAAUACAAUAUCUAAGAAAAAAUCUUUGAGACCCAAGAAAAGUGAAUUUUUUCAUCUCUUGUGUAGUAUCAUUACUUCAUAUCAUCACCUCACCAUUAACAAAUGAUAGAUUCGUCAUACCAUAUGGCAUUUUCUCUAUGCUGCAAUUAACAUUCCCAGCUAUUUAGAGCUGUGUAUUACUUCAUACACAUCCAGAACCACAGACAGAAACAAAAUAAAUAAAUAACGGGACAUUAUGAAUCUCACAGGCUGGUGGAUUUGGACAUAUCAGUACUGAACCUGUUAAUAGGACUUUCUUCUCCAAGCUUGUUUAAUGCAUACAUCUUGUCACAUGGUUGUAACAGACUCAGCAGAGUAAUAGUGUAUGAUGAGUCCUUCAGUCAGGAGGAGGAGCUGAGUGUGUGUAGAGAGCAGAGAUGAUCCGCACACUGACAUGCUGACGAGCUCUAACUCAGUGUGUGUUCUUCUCUCAGUAAGUGCUGUUCACCAUGAUCAUCUUCCCUGUACUGUUGCUCUCAGCUCUUAAAGGUAACAGAGCUGAGGACGUCAUCACUUCAAGCAGAGACGUUGUUUUUGCUGUUGAAGGUCAAAAUGUUACACUUUCCUGUAACUACAUUGGAACUGCUUAUGGUCUUCACUGGUAUCGGCAGUAUUCAGGUUCACCUCCACAGUUCCUCAUACUGGACUAUAAUGGAGUUAUUACUAAAGCUCAACCUCCAGUUCCUGGAAUAUCAAUUAACCAUGUAAAAGAAAUGAAUAAAGUGGAUCUGAUCAUCUCCUCUGCUGCAGUAUCAGACUCUGCACUCUACUACUGUGCCCUGCAGCCCACAGUGACAGGAAACCCAGCUACACUGUACAAAAACACCCCUAUUAUACCCUUUACUAUCCACAACUUAAAGCGUUAGAUACUGUACAAAGCCUAGAAAUCAAUAAUGAUAUUUCUUUUCAGAAUCUACUGUAUGAAGAUUUAAACUUGAAGACUGAACACAUUUGACUUUGUCACUAUACACUACAUUUCAAACUGAAGAGAUUCUAAAAUGCCUUUGGGAUUGUCAAUUUGACACUAUGAUUUUGUAGAAUCUUGCCAGCAUUAAUCAAUAUAUUCAAUUUGGGAACAUAAUUCUGAUCUAAAUGACCUCUUAUGUGUUUGUAGUCUCAGGGUGCACAGAGAUGUAAUGAGGGAAACUGUCCACAGGAGGGAAGACUUCAUGUAGAUUUAACUGAACACUGAAACAGUUUUGUUCUUGUGUCUUAUGUGGUAGUUGAAGUAAAGAGAAGGACUGUUUAAAUAUGCUGAAGAUAAAAUAGCAGGUUCUGAGACAAAUAAUACUUAAUUUAUGCCUUUCUUUCCUGUUUUGUUCUAUGGAUUCUUUUUCUUUUCUUUUUUUUUUUUAGGUAACUCAUAUUAUUAAUAUGUAUGCUUAAACAACUUUUAAACAUGAUAUAUUUUACCUCAAGUGAUCAUAGAAUAGGUUAAUAUGGAGCCGUUUAAAAGAAUCAACUGAAAAUAAAAUAAAACAAUUAAUUAAAUGUCAUAGUAGUUAUUCAGGAAAGAUAUAUUUAUUUUUAACUGACUCAGAGCUGAACUGAUUCAUGAUCUUGAUCAGCGAGCAUAAAUAUGAACAAAAAGCUGUAUAAAAGAUCCAAAUCAAUAAUUUAACCAUAUAAAACAAAUGUUAUGGCAAAUAUACUCACACAUUGAUUCUAAUCCUAAGCAACUAUGCAACAACAACAGUGCCCUAUACACUAACUGCUCUGUGGUUUGUGGAAUUUUUUUUGUUUGUUUUUUUAACUAAAUAUUUGACUUAGACAGAUUGAAACUU